rnacentral:rRNA from 1 species
CCUACGGGGGGCUGCAGUGGGGAAUAUUGCACAAUGGGCGCAAGCCUGAUGCAGCCAUGCCGCGUGUGUGAAGAAGGCCUUCGGGUUGUAAAGCACUUUCAGCGGGGAGGAAGGCGGUGAGGUUAAUAACCUCAUCGAUUGACGUUACCCGCAGAAGAAGCACCGGCUAACUCCGUGCCAGCAGCCGCGGUAAUACGGAGGGUGCGAGCGUUAAUCGGAAUUACUGGGCGUAAAGCGCACGCAGGCGGUCUGUCAAGUCGGAUGUGAAAUCCCCGGGCUCAACCUGGGAACUGCAUUCGAAACAGGCAGGCUAGAGUCUUGUAGAGGGGGGUAGAAUUCCAGGUGUAGCGGUGAAAUGCGUAGAGAUCUGGAGGAAUACCGGUGGCGAAGGCGGCCCCCUGGACAAAGACUGACGCUCAGGUGCGAAAGCGUGGGGAGCAAACAGGAUUAGAUACCCGAGUAGUC